rnacentral:rRNA from 1 species
GUGACAGCAGCCGCGGUAAUACGUAGGGGGCAAGCGUUGACCGGAAUUACUGGGCGUAAAGGGAGCGUAGGCGGAUAGUUUAGUCAGAGGUGAAAGCCCAGGGCUCAACCUUGGAACAGCCUUUGAUACUGGCUAUCUUGAGUACGGGAGAGGUGAGUGGAGCUCCGAGUGUAGAGGUGAAAUUCGUAGAUAUUCGGAAGAACACCAGUGGCGAAGGCGACUCACUGGCCCGUUACUGACGCUGAGGCUCGAAAGCGUGGGGAGCAAACAGGAUUAGAAACCCUUGUAGUCC